rnacentral:rRNA from 1 species
GAUCCUGGCUCAGAAUCAACGCUGGCGGCGUGCCUAACACAUGCAAGUCGAACGAGAAAGUGGAGCAAUCCAUGAGUACAGUGGCGACCGGGUGAGUAACACGUGACUAACCUACCUCCGAGUGGGGAAUAACUCCGGGAAACCGGAGCUAAUACCGCAUAACAUCGCAAGAUCAAAGCAGCAAUGCGCUUGGAGAGGGGGUCGCGGCUGAUUAGCUAGUUGGCGGGGUAACGGCCCACCAAGGCGAAGAUCGGUAUCCGGCCUGAGAGGGCGCACGGACACACUGGAACUGAAACACGGUCCAGACUCCUACGGGAGGCGGCA